CUAUGCGCCUUGCCAGCCCGCUCAGAAACUUAAAGGAAUUGACGGGGGCCCGCACAAGCGGUGGAGUAUGUGGUUUAAUUCGAUGCAACGCGAAGAACCUUACCUAGGUUUGACAUCCGGAAGACCUUCCCGAAAAGGAAGGGUGCCCUUCGGGGAAUUCCGAGACAGGUGCUGCAUGGCUGUCGUCAGCUCGUGCCGUGAGGUGUUGGGUUAAGUCCCGCAACGAGCGCAACCCUAUUGCCAGUUGCUACCAGGUAAUGCUGGGCACUCUGGUGAGACUGCCCCGGUUAACGGGGAGGAAGGUGGGGACGACGUCAAGUCAUCAUGGCCCUUACGCCUAGGGCUACACACGUACUACAAUGGCGCAUACAAAGGGCAGCGAUACCGCGAGGUGGAGCCAAUCCCAAAAAGUGCGUCCCAGUCCGGAUUGCAGUCUGCAACUCGACUGCAUGAAGUUGGAAUCGCUAGUAAUUCGAGAUCAGCAUGCUCGGGUGAAUGCGUUCCCGGGCCUU
rnacentral:rRNA from 1 species